UACGGAGGGGGCUAGCGUUGUUCGGAAUUACUGGGCGUAAAGCGCGCGUAGGCGGACCUGCAAGUCGGGGGUGAAAGCCCGAGGCUCAACCUCGGAACUGCCUUCGAUACUGCGGGUCUCGAGUCCGGGAGAGGUGAGUGGAAUUCCUAGUGUAGAGGUGAAAUUCGUAGAUAUCGGGAGGAACACCAGUGGCGAAGGCGACUACCUGGCCUGUUUCUUGACGCUGAGGCGCGAAAGCUAGGGGAGCAAACGGG
rnacentral:rRNA from 1 species